UCUCCUGGCUAGUCGACUCGGCGACGGUUGCGGGUGCCGAGCGGCGAGACAACCUGGAUCGGGGGAGGCGACGGGGCCCUGUGCCCCGUGCUAAUCCCGAGCGGAGCGCCCGAGGAGCGAUCCUGGGGCGGCCCGUGUAGAGCGCGGUAAGGUGUCGGUGGGCCCCCCUCCACGGGGCCUGCUUAAGGGACGUGCCAGACCCCUCUGUGAAGAGGCCCGAUGAUCGAGUGCCCGCAGCACGAAGCCAUCGGGGGGCGUCAGCAGCGAGGGUAGCAAAUGACCUUCCGCGAGCCUGGUAGCGAUGCGAAUAGGGAACGUGAGCUGGGUUUAGACCGUCGUGAGACAGGUUAGUUUUACCCUACUGAUGAAGGUCGCCCCAACGGUAAUACCGCUUAGUACGAGAGGAACCGCGGUUUCAGAUAAUUGGUUUUUGCGGCUUUCCGACCGGGAAGUGCCGCGACGCUACCAUCUGCUGGAUUACGGCUGAACGCCUCUAAGUCAGAAUCCAUGCCGGAACGGGGUGAUGCUUCCUGCACACCGU
rnacentral:ncRNA from 1 species